ACUCCUGCGGGAGGCAGCAGUGGGGAAUAUUGGACAAUGGGCGCAAGCCUGAUCCAGCCAUGCCGCGUGAGUGAUGAAGGCCCUAGGGUUGUAAAGCUCUUUCACCGGUGAAGAUAAUGACGGUAACCGGAGAAGAAGCCCCGGCUAACUUCGUGCCAGCAGCCGCGGUAAUACGAAGGGGGCUAGCGUUGUUCGGAUUUACUGGGCGUAAAGCGCACGUAGGCGGACUAUUAAGUCAGGGGUGAAAUCCCGGGGCUCAACCCCGGAACUGCCUUUGAUACUGGUAGUCUUGAGUUCGAGAGAGGUGAGUGGAAUUCCGAGUGUAGAGGUGAAAUUCGUAGAUAUUCGGAGGAACACCAGUGGCGAAGGCGGCUCACUGGCUCGAUACUGACGCUGAGGUGCGAAAGCGUGGGGAGCAAACAGUAGUAGAAACCCUAGUAGUCCC
rnacentral:rRNA from 1 species